ensembl:lncRNA
CCAGGGACUCGUCGUCUUAACAGUACCUCCUCCAGGAUGGUGCUGCCGAGCCUUUUUAGAUUUUUAUUUUUUGGCAGAUGGUUCAAAUUUUUCCCAUGUUCCCGUUUCCGGGAUGAACGCACAGCAGUGGGACCCAUGCUGAGGAUAUGCAAGGCCACCGAAUUACCAUUUGCUUGCGUUUGGGAGUAGGCUCCCAUCACCUCGGAUCCGCCCACUCUGGGGACAGAAGUGAAGCUGUAGUGUGGACCUUCUCGUGACUGCUUAUCUCAACAAACAUCACUUCUUCAAGACUCAUCCAUGGUGCACUGGGAGGUGAUGGCAUCCCCUUCUGUCUUCUUUUUAAUUAAAAAAAUAAUUUAUUUUUA